rnacentral:rRNA from 1 species
AUUGAACGCUGGCGGCAUGCCUUACACAUGCAAGUCGAACGGCAGCACGGGUGCUUGCACCUGGUGGCGAGUGGCGAACGGGUGAGUAAUACAUCGGAACAUGUCCUGUAGUGGGGGGUAGCCCGGCGAAAGCCGGAUUAAUACCGCAUACGAUCUACGGCUGAAAGCGGGGGACCUUCGGGCCUCGCGCUAUAGGGUUGGCCGAUGGCUGAUUAGCUAGUUGGUGGGGUAAAGGCCUACCAAGGCGACGAUCAGUAGCUGGUCUGAGAGGACGACCAGCCACACUGGGACUGAGACACGGCCCAGACUCCUACGGGAGGCAGCAGUGGGGAAUUUUGGACAAUGGGCGAAAGCCUGAUCCAGCAAUGCCGCGUGUGUGAAGAAGGCCUUCGGGUUGUAAAGCACUUUUGUCCGGAAAGAAAUCCUUGGCCCUAAUACGGUCGGGGGAUGACGGUACCGGAAGAAUAAGCACCGGCUAACUACGUG